rnacentral:ncRNA from 1 species
GCAACCUGAAGCUGGCGCAUGGCAACCGCGUCGUCUUCCGUUCGCUGCUGGGCAUCUCGUGGAUGUGGUUCUUCGGCGCGGUGUUCCUGUCGCAGUUCCCGUCGUUCGCCAAGGAGGUGCUG